rnacentral:rRNA from 1 species
UAGGGAAUCUUCCGCAAUGGGCGAAAGCCUGACGGAGCAACGCCGCGUGAGUGAUGAAGGUCUUCGGAUCGUAAAACUCUGUUAUUAGGGAAGAAUAAAUGUGUAAGUAACUAUGCACGUCUUGACGGUACCUAAUCAGAAAGCCACGGCUAACUACGUGCCAGCAGCCGCGGUAAUACGUAGGUGGCAAGCGUUAUCCGGAAUUAUUGGGCGUAAAGCGCGCGUAGGCGGUUUUUUAAGUCUGAUGUGAAAGCCCACGGCUCAACCGUGGAGGGUCAUUGGAAACUGGAAAACUUGAGUGCAGAAGAGGAAAGGGGAAUUCCAUGUGUAGCGGUGAAAUGCGUAGAUAUAUGGAGGAACACCAGUGGCGAAGGCGACUCUCUGGUCUGUAACUGACGCUGAGGCUCGAAAGCGUGGGUAGCAAACAGG